rnacentral:rRNA from 1 species
UACGUAGGGUGCGAGCGUUGUCCGGAAUUACUGGGCGUAAAGAGCUCGUAGGCGGUUUGUCGCGUCGUCUGUGAAAACCAGCAGCUCAACUGCUGGCUUGCAGGCGAUACGGGCAGACUUGAGUACUGCAGGGGAGACUGGAAUUCCUGGUGUAGCGGUGAAAUGCGCAGAUAUCAGGAGGAACACCGGUGGCGAAGGCGGGUCUCUGGGCAGUAACUGACACUGAGGAGCGAAAGCGUGGGUAGCGAACAGG